rnacentral:rRNA from 1 species
CGGGGUGCACCAGGCGCGAAAACUUUACCAUGCCGGCAACGGCGAUAAGGGAACCUCGAGUGACAGGUUACUAGUCUGGCUGUCCCGAUGCCUAAAAAGCAUUGCAUAGCAAGGGCCGGGCAAGACCGGUGCCAGCCGCCGCGGUAACACCGGCGGCUCGAGUGGUAACCGAUAUUAUUGAGUCUAAAGGGUCUGUAGCCGGCCGGAUAAGUCUCUUGGGAAAUCCGGCAGCUCAACUGUCGGGCUUUCAGGAGAUACUGUCUGGCUCGAGACCGGGAGAGGUGAGAGGUACUUCAGGGGUAGGAGUGAAAUCUUGUAAUCCUUGAAGGACCACCAGUGGCGAAGGCGUCUCACCAGAACGGACCUGACGGCGAGGGACGAAAGCUAGGGGCACGAACCGGAUUAGAUACCCGGGUAGUCCUAGCCGUAAACGAUACUCGCUAGGUGUCAGCCACGGUGCGACCGUGGUCGGUGCCGUAGGGAAGCCGUGAAGCGAGCCACCUGGGAAGUACGACCGCAAGGUUGAAACUUAAAGGAAUUGGCGGGGGAGCAC